AGAGUUUGAUCAUGGCUCAGGAUGAACGCUAGCUACAGGCUUAACACAUGCAAGUCGAGGGGAAACGACAUCGAAAGCUUGCUUUUGAUGGGCGUCGACCGGCGUACGGGUGAGUAACGCGUAUCCAACCUGCCCACCACUUGGGGAUAACCUUGCGAAAGUAAGACUAAUACCCAAUGAUAUCUCUAGAAGACAUCUGAAAGAGAUUAAAGAUUUAUCGGUGAUGGAUGGGGAUGCGUCUGAUUAGCUUGUUGGCGGGGUAACGGCCCACCUAGUCUUCGAUGGAUAGGGGUUCUGAGAGGAAGGUCCCCCACAUUGGAACUGAGACACGGUCCAAACUCCUACGGGAGGCAGCA
rnacentral:rRNA from 1 species